rnacentral:rRNA from 1 species
CGCGGGAUUGGGGUGCAGCAGGCGCGAAACCUCCACAAUGCGCGAAAGCGUGAUGGGGGAAUCCCGAGUGCUCAUGGUUUUACCAUGGGCUUUUGUUAUGAGUAAAAAUCAUAGCGAAUAAGUGGUGGGUAAUACUGGUGCCAGCCGCCGCGGUAACACCAGAGCCACGAGUGGGAACCACGUUUAUUGGGCCUAAAGCGUUCGUAGCUGGACUUCUAAAUGCUCUGUGAAAUCGUCGCGCCUAACGUGACGGCGUGCAGAGUAGACUGGGAGUCUUGGAACCGGGAGGAGUUAGGGGUAUUUCAGGGGGAGCGGUAAAAUGUUAUAAUCCCUGGAGGACCACCUGUGGCGAAGGCGCCUAACCAGAACGGAUUCGACAGUGAGGAACGAAAGCCAGGGGAGCAAAACGGAUUAGAUACCCGAGUAGUCCUGGCUGUAAACGCUGCGAGCUAGGUGUUGCGCAAUCUACGUGAUUGUGCAGUACCGGAGCGAAGGUGUUAAGCUCGCCGCCUGGGAAGUACGGUCGCAAGACUGAAACUUAAAGGAAUGGGCGGGGGAGCACUACAAGGGGUGCGGGCGUGCGGUUUAAUCUAACUCAACACAGAGAAUCUCACCAGGGCCCGACGGCAGGAUGACGAUCGGGUUCACGACCUUAUCUGACGAGCCGAGAGGUGGUGCAUGGCCGUCGUCAGCUCGUGCUGUAAAGUGUCCUGUUAAGUCAGGCAACGAGCGAGACCUGUGUCUGCAAUUGCUAGCGGGACCUUUUGGUCGACUGAGCACAUUGCAGGGACUGCCUUCGAAAGGAGGAGGAAGGUGCAGGCUACGGUAGGUCUGUAUGCCCCGAAUGCUCUGGGCUACACGCGCGCAACAAUGGUAGAGACAAUGGGAUGCCACUCCGAAAGGAGAAGCUAAGCCUCGAAACUCUAUCCAAGUCCGGAUUGAGGAUUGUAACUCAUCCUCAUGACGAUGGAAUCCCUAGUAAUGGGACGUCAUCAGCGUCCCGUGAAUAUGUCCCUGCUCCUUGCACGAAUUCGCCGAAUCAAUAGU